rnacentral:miRNA from 1 species
CAGCAGACACAUUCCAGCCAAUCAGCAGCAGACCCUCCCUCCCAGACCCUACCACCUCCUGGACAGCAUCCAUUUUGAAGCUGCAUUCUUAGUGAGCUGUCCAGGAGGUGGGAGGGUCUGGGAGGGAGAGUCUGCUGCUGAUUGGCUGGAAUGUGUCUGCUG